AUUGAACGCUGGCGGCAGGCCUAACACAUGCAAGUCGAACGAGUGGCGGACGGGUGAGUAAUGUGUGGGAAACUGACCGAUGGAGGGGGAUAACUACUGGAAACGGUAGCUCAUACCGCGUAUUAUUGGCUGUUAUAAGAUGGGAUUAGCUAGUAGGUGGGGUAACGGCUCACCCAGGCGACGAUCCCUAGCUGGGCUGAGAGGAUGACCAGCCACACUGGAACUGAGACACGGUCCAGACUCCUACGGGAGGCAGCAGUGGGGAAUAUUGCACAAUGGGCGCAAGCCUGAUGCAGCCAUGCCGCGUGUAUGAAGAAGGCCUUCGGGUUGUAAAGUACUUUCAGCGAGGAGGCGUUACUCGCAGAAGAAGCACCGGCUAACUCCGUGCCAGCAGCCGCGGUAAUAC
rnacentral:rRNA from 1 species